GUCGCUUUAAAGCCUGAAAGGGGCAGCCGAACCCUAAGACAAUUCGCAUUCCGCGUCCAUGGCGACCAAGAAGCGGAAGGUCGACCAAGAGGACGAUCUCCUCCCCGCCGCCCCAAACCAUGCCGAUAAUCCCCUCCCCCAACUCCACCAGCAGCCCGUCGUCUACACCCAGGCGCCGGCCUCUGACGACGAGGACGGCGGCAGAGGCAGCGAAAGCGACCAGGACGACGACGACGACGACGUGGGGAAUCUCCUGGAGCCGAUCUCCAGGGACCGUCUCGUCGGCCUCCUCCGCUUCGCUGCAGCCUCCGACCCUGCAGCCCUCGCCGAGAUCCGCCGCGUCGCCGACCUCGACCCGGUCCACCGCAAGCUCUUUGUUCACGGCCUCGGCUGGGACACCACCGCUGAGGGCCUCCGCGCCGCCUUCGUCCGCUACGGCGACAUCGACGAUUGCCGCGUGAUCGUCGACAAGGCCAGCGGCCGAUCCAAGGGCUACGGCUUCGUUCUCUUCCGCCACCGAAGCUCCGCCCGCCGCGCUCUCCGCCGUCCCCAGAAGCUCAUCGACAACCGCAUGACCUCCUGCCAGCUCGCCUCCGCCGGCCCCUCCGCUUCCCUCCACCACCACAAUUCCGCGUCGCAACACCACCAAAACCCUAACCCUAACCCUGGCCCUGGUCCCGCAUCGCAUCAGGACAACAUCUCGAGGAAGAUCUACGUGGGGAACGUCCAUUCCGACAUUGAUGGUGGCCGCCUCCUCGCCUUCUUCUCCCAGUACGGUGAGAUCGAGGAGGGCCCCAUCGGCUUUGAUCGACACACCGGGAAGCCAAAAGGGUAUGCCCUUUUUGUCUAUAAGACGGUGGAGGGCGCCUUGAGAGCCCUCGAGGAGCCGAGCAAGAAUUUUGAAGGCCACCUGCUCCACUGUCAGAAGGCCACUGAUAAUAAGAGUAAGGGUGCACUGGUUCAGAACACAGCAGCUUCUCCCAAUGUGGUGCCGAGCACAGGAACUCUCAAUGGGCCUGGUUAUGCAUUGCCACCAUCAGAUAUCGGGUUAGCACAACAAGCUGCGAUGUUGGGACAGGGGCUUCUUGGCCUGGGGGGAGGACAAGCCUUUGGACAGGGAAUGCAGCCAAAUGUUGCGUUGCUAACACUAUUAGCGACAGCUGGGCAAAAUCCAGCAGCUUUUGGAGUUACGCCGGCCAUGCUUGCUUCACUGAAUCCUGCUUUUGCUGCUGCAUUUGGUGCAACGGGGACCCAGCAAGCUGUACCUCCUUCAGCCGUACCCCAGACAGCACAGAUGGCCAGCUAUGGAAUGGGAAGUGCUGGGUAUCAGGUGGCUUCAGGGUUUCAGGGGCAUACGGGUUUUCAAGGGUCGCCAGGGUUUCAAGGGCCUCCAGGUCUUCAGGGCACUCAUCCAACUGCUCAACAAGGAGGAGCAGGAGGUGUUAGCUCUUACCCUACAGCGCCAGGUUCAAUGUCAAGGCCACCAACUGGACCAAUGGGUGGAUACGGUCCACUUUAGGUCGUCGAUUGAGGUUUGGUACAGCAUUGCCUUCUAGUUUCUUGCUGGCGUUUACAUUUUCAAAAAUCAAUAGGUUCGAGAAUGGGACGUGUCCUCAUUUGAUCAUUGACCAUGUACAAUGAUGAGGCUGUUGUGGAUGCGCAACAUGCUUUUCCUACAUCCUUAAGCUGUAAGGGGCUCGCUUUUAGUUCAUGAACAAAAAGUGAACAUAUCUUCAGAUGAAACGUCAGAACAUGUUCUUCAAAUGAAGAUAGAUUAGAAGGAUCAAAAGAAAAAUUCAGAAAUCAAAUCUCAAGGGAGAGAUCAAAAUGGUAGAGGCUAUGGACGAUCUGACGCUCGAGGAAGGGGACGAGGUCAAUCAAAUGAGAGUCAGAGGAACUCCAAUGAAGGGUUAGAAUUUGUUGAAUUCAAACGGUCCAUUUGAUCGUUUGAACCAGAUUUAAGGGUUGUAAACCCUUUCUACUACCUCAAUUCAUCCGUUGGAAAGAAUUGAGUUGGGCGACGAGACAACUUCUCAAUCGCAUUCAUCAACCUGCUUAGUCCAUAGAUGUGGCAGCGACGUGGACAACAGUGCCUCAACCGAUGACGGUGGCAACGUUAGAGAGUCAAUCCCCUACUCGAGGAAUCCUAUCGUUUUUUUUGGUGGUAGAACCAGAUAAUUCAAUAUCAACAGAAGGAUGGUCUGAAAUCUGUCACAAAGCUACUCCUCAAAGCUCAAAAAAAGAUAUGUACCACUAUUUUUUCAUAAUUUAGAAUAUUUUUGAUGAAAUUAUACUAAAUUUAUAUUUAUUUCCAACUUAAAAACCUUAAUCUAAUUUUUUUUUUAUUUUCAGAUAAUUUUAGAGCAAUUUUUGGUCUUUUUUUUUGUGUCGUCGGCACGCCCUGUCAUGGUGACACUUGGCACAUCGGCAUGGGGUGGCACUUACCGUGUUGUCGAUUGGCUGUCACAUCGGUUUGGACCAGUAAGGUCACCCCUGGUGCAAGCCUCCUUAUCAAGCGAUCCGUGAGGCAAGCACUCCAUUGAUGACAGUUGUUUCCACAAUAUAAGCCGCCACCUGAUCUAUGUUACCACCAAUCCUUGAGCUGAAACCUCUUGCUUAAAGUCUUUUACAGAGAACUUGGCAUGUAAAAAAGGUUGUCCACUUGGGGAAUCAUUGCUUUGCAGCAGCUCAUUGUGUUUGAUCAACCAGGACAAUAUAUCACCAUAUGAAGCCCAGCUGUCCAAAUGUCUUCCCCAACCUGAGCUGCAGCAAGUCUUAAAAGGAUCUGAAAAAUUGAACUGUCAUAUUUUAGAAGUCGAAGACAGAAGAAGCUACUGCAACUCAACUGACACGAAAAAAACUACAUUAGCUGUGCAAACCCAGGGAGCCUGGCUUACAGUUAGAUCUUGUGAGCACGACAUUUUGGUAAAGCAGUAAUAUGGAUCAUCUGUAGAACAACACUCCAGUUGGAUUUUUGUUAGAACUCAUUUCUGAUGCCAGGACAGCAUACAUAUAAGGUACUGUAUUCUUCAGUGGAGCGAGGUUUUAGUUCACUAAAGGAAGAAAAAGAUGCAACACAGGCAGCUUUCAGAUUUUGCUUCCUCAAAGAGUCGUUUUCAGCAUCAGUCGUUUACAUUAUUGGCGGCGGGGUCUGUUUCAGUUUGAGAAUUCAGCUGAAAUCUCAUGUGCUUGAGGCUGUUCCCUCAAAUCUCUAGAACUUCAUGAGAAGCCUUGUGAUUACCAUGUCCAGAUUGGCAAAUAUUGGUACUAAGCUGGCGAGAGAGAUUUCUACCCUGGUACCACGAGCAAGAUGAAGAAGAUGAUGUUCUAGGCAAAGCUGAAAUGUUUGCUAGCCAUCAACUUGUUCGAGUUUGGGUGCUUACGAUGUAAGGCAGGUAAUGCAACAUAAUUACAUAUCCACAGACUAUAUUGGCUUUUCCCAGUCACAUGUUAGUAAGAAUAAUUAAUUAUUCACAGGCACCAAAUCACGAAUUCUCAGUAGCACAACGCGGGUUCAUUCCGAUCGUAAAACAAUCCCAGAAGCCUAUAUUUCGGCUGAUCUUGAAACAAGCAAAUGCUUCUGAAGUUAAACUGGAAAAUGAAUACAUGCCAAACACGAAACACUUCGGACAAUUGCCUGAUUUAUUCAUGAAACCUGUGCUUUGCCCAUCCUGAUAUUGACGUACCAUGGCAACUACGUCACUGAAACUUUCUUUUCUGAAAGAGAACUGCAAAAUGUUUAUUUCACAUACCGACUAUUCUGUAAUGAGAUAUGACACAGGAAAAGAUCCCACCUCUACAUUAAGCUCAUCUAGCAAAAUCAUUCCACAAGAAACAGUACAAUAAAUUAGCUGUGGUAAUUAGGAAGUGUGUACAUCACAAAUAGAAUUUGGGCUCGGGUUAUUGUGUUUGAGCAUGGUAAAAUGUUAUGCCAGGCUGUUGCAGGGGCCUAUAACUAGGGGGUGCUGGCUGUUGAAGUGCAAACUUGGGUGGCUGUUGAGUUAUCUGCAUUGGCUGGUUCAUGGUCAGUGGUGGUGGAGGUGGUGGCUGUUGAAUCAAAGCCAUCGGCUGUUGCUGCUGAGCUGAAGGUGAUGGCCUUCCCAUAUUUAUCAUCUGAGGUUGAGGUGGUGGUGGUGGAGGUAGGGCACUGUAGGUGUAGGGUAGUCCAAUCAUGACACCUCCAGGGUGUUGCAGGUACUGUUGUGUUGAAACUGGGUACAUACUGUACUGUGUCUGUGGUGCCGAAGCUUGGCUUUGUACAGGAUUCUGCUGCAACAAAACGGCUUGAGCCUGAUGGGGCGUUGGAACAACAAUCGGUUGAACAGGUAUGAAGGCAGUGGCAGUGGUAUCGGAAAUUGGCAAGGGCUUCUCGGCUUUUAUCCUCCUAUCUGGUGGGGCUGCAGAAAAGGAAUUAGACGUAGUAGUAGUUGAUGCAGCCAGACCUGCAUUCUUGGCCUCCUCUGCAGCAAAGGUGGAAAGAACCGAGGUCAUGAUUUGCUGGGAAUGAGUUGAAGCUGCAAGCUUAUCGGCGACCUCCGCAGCAAUUGCAGCAGCAGUCUUCUUUGGAUCUUUGUCUGGUGGACUAUUCAAAACUGGCUUUCGUGGUUCCAUUGUGGAUGGUGGUUUGGUCGUCAUCACAACUGGCUCAUUGUUAAGCCUCCUCUGCAUGUUGGCAGCCUCGUCAACCAUGGCUUGGGCUAGCUGUCAUUGGACAGAUCUUUUCAUCAGUAAAAGGAAAGCUAGAAGUGCAACUAAACAAGAGUGGAGCAUGUGCAACAACAUUUGCAAGAGCAGGUUUCCAUGAAUCAUCACUAUUCCUACUAGCCAUGGAUGAAUUGUUGUAAAGGGAAGGUCUAGCUCCAUGCUAUCCACAGUUUCACUACUGCAAAGAAACCAUCUGAUGUUUUGCAGGCUACAAGAAGAUUAAUUGAGAAUUUUAUUAUGUGA